rnacentral:tRNA from 1 species
GCGCGAGUAGCUCAACUGGAUAGAGCGACGGCCUCCGGAGCCGUAGGUUGCGGGUUCAACUCCCGCCUCACGCACCA